GUGGGAACCCCUCAGGAAGUAGUCCUCAUUUCAUCUCCUUAUCAUCCUUCUUGUGGUUGUAUUUUGCGUGUGCUUUAUCACGCACGCCACGUGUCAAUACAGCAGUGCCUGCGUAUGGUUUAUAAAUAACUCCGUGUACACUGGGGACACGCUCUCUCAGGGGUGUUUCGCUGCCAGGGGCGCGCUGCGGCCUCUCCCGGCCACGUUUAAGAAUGUGAAGCAUUAGAUAACAUUAAGAAUUAACAGGUGCCAAAGGAGUCGCGUUCGUUUUUCCGUGGGAAGGAGGUCAGCGCCGGCGGCAUGGGUGUCGGAGCAGCUUCUCCAGUUAUCCCUUCCUGCAGUAAUCAGAAGUGAGGUUACUGUGAAGCUUUAGCCCUGAUGACUGACAAGAAAGCAACCUAAAGUGACCUGGCAGCUAAACAGAAGCUUUCCUAGAAGAGAAUGAAAAGAGUGCCUGAUGAGGAAAAUCCCCCUGCUCCCACCAUGUGUUGGCGUUUCGGCUCCAGAUAAUAUUUUCUGUACAUAAUAGCUUCCACUGUCCGAGGGAACCUUGUCGGCACGGCGUGAAUUUGUCCACCUUUAUUCAGCGCCCAGGCAGGAGAAAGGCUUCCCACCCCCGUGCAUGGGUUGGUGUGCGGCUGCUGCCGCUCGGGAAUGGUUUGUUCACUCCCCAGCUCAGCCAGCACAACAUCAGAUUGUUUGGGAAGUCAGCGGGGCUGCCGGCUGCCAGGAUAAAGUUCUUGAAAAGGCGUCAUUGCGAGAAGACUGACAGUGCACACAGGAACCACAGUUAUAGCCAGUCACUGAUUCGUUUCCUGGUUUCUGCUUGAGUGCCAUAAAAYAUUUUCAAGUAAUGGAAGGGGAUAAAGGGCAAAAUGCUAAAGCUACCGGUGCCGUGGGUGACCUGAGGAGAAGUUGGCAGACCUGGGCAGAGGAUCACAUUGAGUAUCAGAGGAAGAAUCCGUUCAGCAGUGACGACAGGUUUGCAUCUAAACCUGUGCGUACUCACAGAGGAGAUCCUACCUAUGGGAGACCCCCUGAAGGGUCUCGGACAGAGCAGAGAGGSAAAGAUGCUCACUCACACGUGGGUAAGGAAGUAGAAGAGCUCUGCUUGAUCAUCAGAAGAACUGGAGAGGUGGGAGAAGAUGGACAYGUGAGCGUGACAUUUGGGCAGCUGUUUGAAACAUACGUGACUAUUUCCAAUAAAGUAGUGGGAAUCUUGUUAAGAGCCAGAAAACAUGGYCUAGUUCAUUUUGAAGGUGAAAUGCUUUGGCAAGGAAAAGAUGAUGAUGUGGUCAUCACUUUACUACAAUAAGGCUUUGUCAUGGAAUGAACUUUGCUGCAGGGUUCUAUUUGGAAAAAACUUACCUAGAUACCAUCUUGACAGGUUUUGAUUACAGAAUUUCAACUCAGCUACCUACUGGSACACAAGCAGGAGAAGGAAAUGGGUGAGAAGGUUAAAGCAUAUUUUUGUUAAAAUGGUAUAUUUGGACAGAAAUCACAACUUAGGAGCUAGUUCAACUCACAUUGGAUUGUCCUUAUCUACUAUCAAGUGUAUGACAGUUCYUUUAAUAACUCAGCUGGCUUACUGCUUUUAGGUUACUGCGAGUAUAAAUCUAGCUUGCUAUCGUACAACACUGGUUCUUGCAGAUUGUGAAAUGCYUACUGCAUGGGAGAAUGGGAUUUGUAAAAUGUGGAAUUGAAAACUCUYGUGGGAAUUAAAAUACUUCUUCAAACAAAGAGCCUAGUAUACAACAAAAGUUUAGGUUCAAUUUCACAUGGGUAAACUGAAUAAAUGGAGGUUAUUUUCAUGAAGUAGAUGGAAAUUCCCAAACUUACAAGAAUAUCACAGCAAGRAUAUUUUAUGGUUCCUAAAUUAGUUGCAUCUUGCUUCUGUUUUGGAGAGCUGCACUAGUUCUGGUAUUUAAUAGUCUAAUAUUGCAAUUGUAUCUUCUUCAAACCUUCUGUAUCUCUUGUUCUUUUUCUUCUGUAUCUCACACCAUUUUUACCGGUUCUGUUCCUCUAACACUAUGGAAAAAGUUCUCAAAGGUCUGCACCCUUUUUGGUGAAUUCAGCUAUACUCCUUCGUAGAAGGCAGGGUACCACAAUUUAAAGAUGUAAAAGUGAACAGAAACUCUGUAUUGGGGCACCUGUGCAUUCAUAAGGGAAAAAAAGGCUCUUCCUUCUCCAAAAUGUAGCAAUGCUUUUUACAAGAGGAGAGUAGAAAUACUGUAUGACAAAAUGGAUAAAUAGAAGUAUAGCAGCACAGUCCCAUAUCUCGUUUACCUGCUUUCAGAGCACAGUUGUGAGCUCUCCAGGCUGUUGAAAAGAAAAAUAAAGGAUUGGUAAUAUUAAAUAAUUGUAAUAGUGCUAUGGAAAAUAAUCAGGAGCUGUAUUUACAAUAGCUGUCACCAAUAAAGCUGUAUACUUAGAAAUCUAAAGUUCUAUUUUUUUAUCCGUGUAAAUAAGAGCUUCUGUGU